rnacentral:lncRNA from 1 species
AUGGCGGCCAGAGGCAGCCGGUCCUGCACCUGGCCGUGUGGGUUGGGGAUGGCUGGAGGUGGUCGGGAGGGCAGCGGGAACCGGCAAGGCGUCGGCGAUGGAGUCCCUCCGGACGGCGGUAGGGACAGCGAAGCACGGCGGAAGACGGUGACGGCGCUCGGCGGCUGCGGCAGCCCUAGGGGCUGCGGCGUCCCAAGACAGUGGCAGUCUGAGCACUGUGAAUCCGAUAAAGUGGAAGCUAAUCCCAUCGAGCAAAUACAGAGGGGAUUUUCGAUCUACAGAGCCAAUACAGAGGGGAAAGGAGUGGUGGAUGGGGGUUUUACCUGCUUUGCUAUGGGCAUCGGCAGGGUGGUCUCAGCAGGGACGGCGGCGGCCUCAGCAGGUCCUAUCGGCAGCAGUCAAUGGCGGCUUCGGCAACAAAAGUGAAAAGACGACG